CCCUUAGAUGUUCUGGGCCGCACGCGCGCUACACUGACUACUUCAACGAGUUGUUUCCUUGAUCGAAAGGUCUGGGUAAUCUUUGAAAGGUAGUCGUGAUGGGGAUAGAUCCUUGCAAUUUUUGAUCUUCAACGAGGAAUUCCUAGUAAACGCAAGUCAUCAGCUUGCAUUGAUUACGUCCCUGCCCUUUGAACACACCGCCCGUCGCACCUACCGAUUGAAUGGUCCGGUGAAUCUUUAGGACUGUGGCUGAGGCCUUGCCUUGUGCGGGUCUGGCCGUGGGAAUUUAGUUAAACCUUACCAUUUAGAGGAAGGUGAGGUCGUAACA
rnacentral:rRNA from 1 species